GAUGAACGCUGGCGGCGUGCCUAAUACAUGCAAGUCGAGCGAACAGACGAGGAGCUUGCUCCUCUGACGUUAGCGGCGGACGGGUGAGUAACACGUGGAUAACCUACCUAUAAGACUGGGAUAACUUCGGGAAACCGGAGCUAAUACCGGAUAAUAUAUUGAACCGCAUGGUUCAAUAGUGAAAGACGGUUUUGCUGUCACUUAUAGAUGGAUCCGCGCCGCAUUAGCUAGUUGGUAAGGUAACGGCUUACCAAGGCGACGAUGCGUAGCCGACCUGAGAGGGAGAUCGGCCACACUGGAUGUGAGACACGGUCCAGACUCCUACGGGAGGCAGCAGUAGGGAAUCUUACGCAAUGGGGGAGAGCCUGACGGAGCAACGCCGCGUGAGUGAUGAAGGUCUUCGGAUCGUAAAACUCUGUUAUUAGUGAAGAACAAAUGUGUAAGUAACUAUGAACGUCUUGACGGUACCUAAUCAGAAAGCCACGGCUAACUACGUG
rnacentral:rRNA from 1 species